rnacentral:tRNA from 1 species
GAUUAAUAUUUUUGUGUUUUGAAAACACAAUUAGAGGUAAACUCAUUAAUUU